UGCCCCAAAUCAAGAUCUCAGGACUUCCGUGUUUGCGUGUAGACACCCUUCCCCAGCCUCAUUCUCCAUCAGGACCCUUAAACAUCAGAGAUUCCUGGUGAGUGCCCACCAGCAAGCAGGCAUAAUCCUAAAGAGACUGUAUAAUGCUCUGGAUGGGACAUAGGGCCCUGCGCAUUAUGGCUUCGGGCUCUGCCAACGAGAUAGGCCUGCCUCCCCAGGAAUCAACUUGAUUGGACAGAGCUCAAUCCUCUCCUGCUGCUGGGCUGCAGAUACAUACAAGACCCUUGGAAUCCAGCCAUCAAUAUGAAAAUGAGUCCAGACUAUAGAGACAAAUGUGGCCUCAUUUGUUUGCACAAAUGCUCCAGGUGCUGGUGCCUGGUCGGUGUGGCCAUCUAGUGACCAGAGAGGAAACUGCAGCGAUGGGCGCCGCUUACAGCAAUGAGGUCAUCCAUCUCCUUUUCCCAGAGCUCAGGUUUCUCCGCAGAAGGAGGGAUUCCAGCUGUGCCGCAGGAUCCUUGGAAAAGAUACUUUGAAAUUAAAGAAAAUUGGAAGCGCUCCCUUAAAGCCAA